rnacentral:rRNA from 1 species
ACGGAGGGUGCAAGCGUUAAUCGGAAUUACUGGGCGUAAAGCGCACGUAGGCGGUAUGUUAAGUUGGAUGUGAAAGCCCCGGGCUCAACCUGGGAAUUGCAUUCAAAACUGGCAUGCUAGAGUAUGUGAGAGGGGGGUAGAAUUCCAAGUGUAGCGGUGAAAUGCGUAGAGAUUUGGAGGAAUACCAGUGGCGAAGGCGGCCCCCUGGCACAAUACUGACGCUGAGGUGCGAAAGCGUGGGGAGCAAACAGG